GACGAACGCUGGCGGCGUGCCUAAUACAUGCAAGUUGAGCGCUGAAGGUUGGUACUUGUACCAACUGGAUGAGCAGCGAACGGGUGAGUAACGCGUGGGGAAUCUGCCUUUGAGCGGGGGACAACAUUUGGAAACGAAUGCUAAUACCGCAUAAAAACUUUAAACACAAGUUUUAAGUUUGAAAGAUGCAAUUGCAUCACUCAAAGAUGAUCCCGCGUUGUAUUAGCUAGUUGGUGAGGUAAAGGCUCACCAAGGCGAUGAUACAUAGCCGACCUGAGAGGGGGAUCGGCCACAUUGGGACUGAGACACGGCCCAAGCUCCUACGGGAGGCAGCAGUAGGGAAUCUUCGGCAAUGGACGAAAGUCUGACCGGGCAACGCCGCGUGAGUGAAGAAGGUUUUCGGAUCGUAAAACUCUGUUGGUAGAGAAGAACGUUGGUGAGAGUGGAAAGCUCAUCAAGUGACGGUAACUACCCAGAAAGGGACGGCUAACUACGUG
rnacentral:rRNA from 1 species